rnacentral:rRNA from 1 species
GGAAAGCGGGGGAGAGGAACCGCUGAAAGAGGGAGGAUGCGAGAGGGAUCAGUGUUAAUGUGGUGUAAAGGGUAGGUAGGCGGGGUUAUAAUGCAGUGGGUAAGGACCAUCGCUUAAAGAUGGAAAGGUGAUGGAGACUGUAGGGCGUGAAUUUUUGUGAAGUAAGUAGAAGAUGUAGUGUAGCGGGGAAAUGCUUAGAUAAGACAUGGAAUACCAAUUGCGAAGGCAGGGUACUAACAAACAAUUGACGGUGAUGGACGAAAGCGUGGGGAGCGAACAGGAUUAGAUACCCUAGUAGUC